rnacentral:misc_RNA from 1 species
CUUACCUCCUCAGUUAUGUGUCAAGACUUGUAUCGUCCUGAGCGUAUUGUGGGUUUCCUGUGUUGCAUACCUAAUUGAUGGUAUUGUUUUGGUUGAUCCAAGUCCCUUUUCAUCUUGUGUUGCAUUUGCGACACAUGAUGAACCUCGAAGCAGUCUCUAUGUUCCAUCUUGUUGAUGCAAAUGCAUUGAUGUUGUGGCCCAUUGAGCAUUGCGUGGUAUCCUGGAUACGGAACAUUAUGUGGGAAUGGGGUCUCUCGUGACUCUUGUUUUGUCCUUGUUCAGUGUUCUUUAAAAUGACGGUUCAUGCACGCCUAGGCUCGUACCUGCGUGAUGUUCUUUGUCAAAGAGGAAUGCUACC